UUUUAAGUAAUGCUAUUAUUAUUUGAAAUUUUUUUCCUGCUAAACUAUGUUGCUUCAUAUGCCUAUUAUGAAUCUGUAUGCAAUAUACAUGAAUUUUUAAAUUUUGUAGGAUCUUACGAUCCGUGUUACGAUCUUCCGAUUCACGAUUUUGUUAAGUCUACCUGAUCUUACGUAGGAUCUCGAGUCUGACUACCUUGAUUACAACCCCAUCAGUAUUCAUUGAUUUUCAUUUGGUUAUGCUUUCCCUUUCCUGUGUAAAAUGCUUCACAUGCCUGAAGAACAUUGGAAAUACUCAUCACUUAGUGUAGAAUACAAUGUCUUUUUUCACGUGACUGAAAAGGAAGCUCUAAUAAACAUUGGAAAAAUUCAUCACUUUAAUAGAGCUCCAUACAACAGACAAACUACAAGGAAUGAUUUAUUACAUUGUUGUUGUGAAAUUGGAGGAGGCAAGUCAUCGUAAUUGUCAUAUUUAUUACAUUGAAUGAUGGUUAUGGAAUUUGGAGGAAGAAGAUGCUCCAAUAAUAUCUACAAUAUAAGAAAGUUAACUGAUAUGGAAAAUACCUUUUUGCCCUUUUGCUUCUACAUUGUGCCACGUGGAUAGCUUCACCAUCUUUCCCUAUUCUAACUUCAGUUUCCAUCACCACGUUUCAUUGCAUGUUUUAGAAACACAACUUUUUGCUUUCCCCUUUUCUUCUUCUUCUUUUUUUUCUCUCUCUUUUCUCUUUCUCUCAUGACUACUGUCCUUCUUCUUCCUCUUCAUUAACCUUCUUCCUCCUCCUCAAGCUUCAUUCUUUAUUUCUCUCUCUUUUCUCUUUCUCUCAUGACUAAUGUCCUUCUUCUUCCUCUUCAUUAACCUUCUUCCUCUUCCUCAAGCUUCAUUCUGACACAACAUCAUCACCAUGAUUCGCUAUGGUUUGUUUGCUCAACCUAUGGAAUUUGUGACUUCUAUGUUGUUUAUUAACAUGGCUAUUUUUUUCAGAUCCAACGUUUUCAUGGUAGGGUUUUGAUUUUGUUGUCUGUGGUGGUCGGAGUUGAAUCGCAUACGACGAAGAAGACGCAGAUUCUCCUCAGAUUUUAGAGGUUCGAUUUUUACUUUAUUAUUUUACAUUCAUUUCAAAAUCUCCAUAUCCUUCAGUUUUACCCUUUUUCAAAUCUGUAACCGUUCAAUCGCGGCAAUCUAGAGCGAUUCGUUGACCGAACCUUUUCAAAUCCCCUUUUCAUAUCGUCACUACUAUCCAUACCAUUGGUAAGUUUUUGUUACUAUGCUUUUAUUGAAUGUGUCUGAUUGUAUGGUUAUCGUGAUGUGUUUGUUUUAUGUUUUAGGGUUCAAUGUUGAAAGUUCCAUAUUUCCAAUUAUUGGACAACAAGUUCCAUAGCAGAUUUAUGGUGCCAUGGCUGUUGCGGGGAGUUUUAUAUGUGCUGGCUGAAUCGGAUAUUAAACCAUGUUGCAUGGUUGCUGAACCGAAAUAUUACGAUUGUUGUACCGAAUGAUGCAGAGACUGAACCGAGUCAUACAGCUGCUGUACCGAAUGAUGCAUGCGAGAAACCAAGUCGUACAUCUGAUAUACUGAAUACUGCAAGUGCUGAAUUAGGUGCUGGCUGAAUUGAGUUAAGUAACAUUUCAAAAUUCGUGUAAAAACUGUAGGAAUUCGUAAAGGCAGUUGUUGCUUAUCAGAAGAAGCUGAAUAGUAAAGCAUCUGUUCAAAAGCCUCUAAAGCUUAACAAGGAACUGGAAAACAAAAGGAAGAGUAUAGUACACAGUUUCUCACUUGCAAAAGACCUAUACAAUCAUGGCCAAUAUAUGAACUCCACCAAAGAAUCUGAACUUGAAGCAGGAGUAAAGUUUCUUGAGGUUUUCGUGUGAAGCAUCACUGCAAUAAGGAAUAUCUUACUGUGAAGCAAAGAAUUUGACAUUCAAUGCAUAACUUUCCUGAUUGCAGACUGUCUUAACCAAGGAAAAAUACUUUCACCAAUUUUGGAUCCAUUCCUUUUAUCUCAGCAUAUCUUGGCGUGUGCGGCUGCUAAUUGUGAGAAACCAAAGUCUGGAUCAAAGUAUCAAUAUGCAGAGUUCAAAUCAACAGGUUAAUUCUAAGUUAGGUGUCAUUGAUCGGGUCCAGGGGAGGUUCGAUUCGAUUGAGGCAACUGUUUGAAUGAUUGACAGGAUUAUCAGUUCGUCGCAGAUCCUUCGACUAAGACUGGAUGUUUCUAUUGAUGUUUCGAGCCUGCUUUGAAUCAAUGUUGCAGCAUUAACGGCAGCAAGGCAGUUUCCAACUGGUAUAUUCCAAGGAGAAGGAUCUUUCAUCAAAAGAACACAAAUAAUUAGUAGACAUGGUUUCUAAAGUCGAGGUUUCCAUUGAUAAGUUAUUUGGUGACUUGAAUAUUAAUGAUUUGAAGUCGGAUUUUGAUGUUUAUCUUCCAAACAGCAGGGUAUAAUGUAGAGGUAUGGAUUUAAGGGAGGUUCAGCAUCCCAUGGGAAUUCUAAAGCACAUAGAACCAUGGGUUCUACAGGACAACAUGAUUCUCCUGGAAGGGUAAAAAGAUGCAUGGGAGAAUGGGUGGGAAGCAAAGAACAGUAAAAAAUAUAUGGGUCUACAAAAUCGAUCCAGCAAGAAAUUUGAUGUGGGUGAAAGGCCAUGUAAUUGUUUUUAUAUACUAACUAUUAUUCACAUUAAUUUACUUACUUUUGGAGGAGGUGAUAAUUUCAGCUAAUGUAGUAUUUGCUAUAUGCUGGUUUGCUGAUUCCAUAGUUCUCUUCUAAGUCUAUCGAGUUCGUUAUGCCUUUUAUGCUACUCACUUCCAUUUGCCUCUAUAUUUGUUACAUUUUUUAUUUUAUUUGUUGAUG